UCAUCUUGAAGUAUAUAUUAUUAAGUAUACAUGUUUCGAAAAAGUGAUUGUACCUUUUAUUUACUUAUUUUGAACUGUUGUAAAAAGCUUGAUAUAUUCUCAAGUAUGUUUUUUUAAAGCGAUGUCCAAAGGUGUAAGUUCUUGUUUAUUUUUACUAUUUGUAACUGCUCCGAGUUUCACUAAUAGUUUUACUAAUUCCUCGUUCCCAUAUUCACAGGAGAUGUGAAGUGGUGUAUAACCUUGAUCGUCCGGCUUGUUGACAAGAGCACUGUUCAAUAAUAACAUUUUUCACUAUUUUACACAUACUGUUGUGACAUGCAUAAUGUAGUGGUGUUUUACAGUUUGUGUCUGCUAUAUUCACGUUGUCAUCCUUUUCAAAUAGAUAUUUUACCACAUCAUAGUGUCCGUUAGCACAAGCUAUAUUUACAAGUGUCAUACCUUUCACGUCUGUUCCGUCUACAGAGGAAUUGUGUCGGAUUAAAUAUUCAACAAUAUGAAUGUUUCCAGUUUGACAUGCAACAUGAAGUGCAGCUCUUUUAUUGCUAUCUAACUUAUUGACUUCAGCUCCUCUUCUUAUUAGCCAUUGAACAAUUCGCAAAUGACCCUUUUCGCAUGUUAUAUGAUAUCUGGCAAUCAGGAAAUUCCAAUAUUGCACGGAUCAAAUCUGAAUAUCCUAGUGAUGAAAGAAUAUGAAUAACGUUUGAUCCAGUUGAACUGUCUACAAGCUUUCGUAAGUUUACAUGUGUUCUAAUGUGAAAUAAAAAACAAUUCUCUGCGUUUCUUCGCCUGGAAUAAUUCAUUAAUUAAAACAUCAACAAUGCAAUUAUUAUUCAUAUCAGAUGUAAGGCGUU
rnacentral:lncRNA from 1 species